GCUGUAGUUCAGUGGCAGAGCAUUUGCUUUGCAUGCAGAAGGUCCCAGGUUCAUUCCUCAGCAUCUCCA